rfam:Xenopus tropicalis strain Nigerian Chr01_contig_4642, whole genome shotgun sequence.
AUACUUACCUGGCAGGGGAGAUACCAUGAUCACGAAGGUGGUUCUCCCAGGGCGAGGCUCAUCCAUUGCACUCCGGCCGUGCUGACCCCUGCGAUUUCCCCAAAUGCGGGAACGUCGACUGCAUAAUUUCUGGUAGUGGGGGACUGCGUUCGCGCUUUCCCCUG